UAGGGAAUCUUCGGCAAUGGACGAAAGUCUGACCGAGCAACGCCGCGUGAGUGAAGAAGGUUUUCGGAUCGUAAAACUCUGUUGUUAGAGAAGAACAAGGACGUUAGUAACUGAACGUCCCCUGACGGUAUCUAACCAGAAAGCCACGGCUAACUACGUGCCAGCAGCCGCGGUAAUACGUAGGUGGCAAGCGUUGUCCGGAUUUAUUGGGCGUAAAGCGAGCGCAGGCGGUUUCUUAAGUCUGAUGUGAAAGCCCCCGGCUCAACCGGGGAGGGUCAUUGGAAACUGGGAGACUUGAGUGCAGAAGAGGAUAGUGGAAUUCCAUGUGUAGCGGUGAAAUGCGUAUAUAUAUGGAGGAACACCAGUGGCGAAGGCGGCUCUCUGGUCUGUAACUGACGCUGAGGCUCGAAAGCGUGGGGAGCAAACAGG
rnacentral:rRNA from 1 species